rnacentral:snRNA from 1 species
CGCAGUUUCCUCGCAAUUG